CGGAGUAUAGGCUAGUCUGGUAAGUCGCUACGUUUGGGACGUAGAAAUCGUAGGUUCAAAUCCUACUACUCCGACCA
rnacentral:tRNA from 1 species